rnacentral:rRNA from 1 species
AGGACGAACGCUGGCGGCGCGCCUAACACAUGCAAGUCGAACGAGCGAGAGAGAGCUUGCUUUCUCGAGCGAGUGGCGAACGGGUGAGUAACGCGUGAGGAACCUGCCUCAAAGAGGGGGAUAACAGUCGGAAACGACUGCUAAUACCGCAUAAGCGCACAGUGCCGCAUGGCACAGUGUGAAAAACUCCGGUGGUCUGGGAUGGACCCGCGUCCGAUUAGUUAGUUGGCGGGGUAACGGCCCACCAAGACCGCGAUCGGUAGCCGACCUGAGAGGGUGACCGGCCACAUUGGGACUGAGACACGGCCCAGACUCCUACGGGAGGCAGCAGUGGGGAAUAUUGCACAAUGGAGGAAACUCUGAUGCAGCGACGCCGCGUGGAGGAAGAAGGUUUUCGGAUUGUAAACUCCUGUCGUUAGGGACGAUAAUGACGGUACCUAACAAGAAAGCACCGGCUAACUACGUG